rnacentral:rRNA from 1 species
UACGUAGGGGGCAAGCGUUGUCCGGAUUUAUUGGGCGUAAAGAGCGUGUAGGCGGCUAGGUAGGUCCGUUGUGAAAACUCGAGGCUCAACCUCGAGACGCCGAUGGAAACCAUCUAGCUAGAGUCCGGAAGAGGAGAGUGGAAUUCCUGGUGUAGCGGUGAAAUGCGCAGAUAUCAGGAAGAACACCCGUGGCUAAGGCGGCUCUCUAGGACGGUACUGACGCUGAGACGCGAAAGCGUGGGGAGCAAACAGG